GUGAGGAAUUUUCCGCAAUGGGUGAAAGCCUGACGGAGCAAUGCCGCGUGAAGGAUGAAGGCCUAUGGGUUGUAAACUUCUUUUCUCAGAAAAGAAUUAUGACGGUAUCUGAGGAAUAAGCAUCGGCUAACUCUGUGCCAGCAGCCGCGGUAAGACAGAGGAUGCAAGCGUUAUCCGGAAUGAUUGGGCGUAAAGCGUCUGUAGGUUGUUUAAAAAGUAUUCUGUCAAAGAUUAGGGCUUAACCCUAGAUAGGCAGAAUAAACCUUUAAGCUAGAGUUUGGUAGAGGCAGAGGGAAUUCCCGGUGGAGCGGUGAAAUGCGUAGAUAUCGGGAGGAACACCAAAGGCGAAGGCACUCUGCUGGGCCAAUACUAACACUGAGAGACGAAAGCGAGGGGAGCAAAUGGGAUUAGAUACCCGAGUAGUCC
rnacentral:rRNA from 1 species